rnacentral:lncRNA from 1 species
AGUCAUAGGGCUACUGAAACACAAGGUGACGAGAACUAUUAGGCAAUUGAGUGCAUUCCCUGCAGGGCUGCUCCCACUUCUAUCUGACUUGGGUCUAGAUGACUCAAGUGAUUCCCGAGGGGAAAAUAAUCUAUGUGGAACAGCUGUCAUGAGCAGGCCUUCUGCUGCUCUUCAGCCUCAAUUUCAGCCUGCUACUUCCCGUGACAUCAUUCAGUGAUUCCUCCCUUUAAGGGGACAGUUUUCUCUUGUAUUACAGGUGACUACUUGAAGGUGGCUAGACGAGAGCAUACUGCCACCACUCUUUAUUUGGAGGCCUGUAACCUGUCUUGAGUGUGUUGCAGGAAGACUCAGUUACAGUGUUCCCUGAAUAUGUAGCUUUCCAUUACAAUAGUAUGCAAGCCAAGAUGAAACCACCUCUGUUUGGGUUUCAGCAGCUGUCUGCCUACGGAAGGCUCCAGAGUCCCUGACGCAUAUUUAUAUCUCCACUUCACUGAAGUCACAAGGAACAAACACGUUCACAGGAAGCACCUGGCACACAGUAACUAUUAUUAAUUUCUGCACUGGAGGCAUCAGGAAAGCCUUCACGCUAUAGGGGGCCCUUUUAAGUUAAGAAGUUGGAGAGCAAGCCUCGGGGAAAGCAAAGAGAUAACUUAGUAGAAUGGAGCAACCAUACGGGAACAGUGAGAGUCCAUGGAUCUCCCUGGGCUAAGAUCAUGUAUGGAUUUGGCAAUCUGGGGUGGAAGCCACAUGUGCUGUUAUUAAGUGGAAAUGUCUCGUGAACAUGUGGAAAGUGAUGACUGGAACUUCAGAUGAAAGUCAAAGCUGGAGAUAGGAGAUUCAGAAGUCACCCCACCAAAGAAGGAAUGGUUAAAGCUAUAAGAACUAAUGAGAUCCUA